UGACCCCAGGUCAAGCGGGGCUACCCGCUGAGUUUAAGCUUAUCAAUAAGCGGAGGAAAAGAAACUUACAAGGAUUCCCUUAGUAACGGCGAGGGAACUAGGAAGAGCCCAGCUUGAGAGUCGGACAACAAUGUUAUUUGAAUUGUAGUCUGUAGAAGCGUCCUCAACGACGGACGGGGCCUAAGUCCCCUGGAAGGGAGCAACGAAGAGGGUGAGAGCCGCAUCAUGCUCUGACCCUGUUGCAUUACAAGGCGCUGUUUGCUAGUCGAGUUGUUUAGGAAUGCAGCCCUAAUUGGGCGGUAAAUUACGUCCAAGGCUAAAUAUUGGCGAGAGACUAAUUGCAAAAAAGUACCACGAGGGAAAGAUGAAAAGGACUUUGAAAAGAAAGUCAAAGAGUGCUUGAAAUUGUUGGGAGGGAAGCGGAUGAGGGCCAGCGAUGCAUCUCGGUCGGAUGUGGAACGGUGUUAAGCCGGUCCACCAAUCAACUCGAGAUGUGGACCGAUGUGGAUUGUGGCAGUGUCCUAAGCCUAGGCUAUUGAUAUGCUUGUGGAGAUGUCGUUGCUCUGAUCGUGGUGGGUAGUGUGUGCUAUUAUGGCGUGUUUAUGCACUUGCGUGCUGCGGGCAUCGGUCUUCGGGCUCCUCAUUCAACCUAUCUUGAAACAAGGACCAAGAAGUCUGACAUAUGUGCGGGUCAAUGAGUGAGUAAACCUGUAAGGUGUAAGGAAACUAAUUAUCAGGAUCCCCUUGUGGGUUGCACCACUGACCAACCUUAAUCUUCUAAGAAGGGUUCGAGUGUGAGCAUGCUUGUUGGGACCCAAAAAAUGGUGAACUAUGCCUGAGCAGGGUGAAGCCAAAGGAAACUCUGGUGGAGGCCCGCAGCAAUACUGACGUGCAAAUCAUUCGUCUGACUUGAGUAUAGGGGCGAAAGACUAAUUGAACCAUCUAGUAGCUGGUUCCCUCCAAAGUUUCCCUCAGGAUAGUUGGAGCUUUGUCGAGUUCUAUCAGGUAAAGCCAAUGAUUAGAGGCAUCGGGGGCACAACGCCCUCGACCUAUUCUCAAAAUUUAAUUUGGUAGGACAACAUGGCUGCUUUGUUGAGCCAUGUUAUUGAAUCGGUAGCUCCAAGUGGGCUAUUUUUGGUAAGCAGAACUAGAAAUGCAGGAUGAACCGGAAGUCGAGUUACGUGCCUAACUGCGCGCUAAGAACCCACAAAGGGUGUUGGUCGAUUAAGACAGCAGGACGGUGGUCAUGGAAGUUGAAAUCCGCUAAGGAGUGUGUAACAACUCACCUGCCGAAUCAACUAGCCCCGAAAAUGGAUGGUGCUAAAGUGCGCAACCUAUGCUAGGCCAUCGAGGCAAUUUCCAGGUCUCGAUGAGUAGGAGGGGCGGCGGUUGCUGCAAAACCUUGGGCGUGAGCUUGGGUGGAGCGAUCGUCGGUGCGAAUCUUAGUGGUAGUAGCAAAUAUUCAAAUAAGAACUUUGACGGCCGAAGAGGGGAAAGGUUCCAUGUGAACGACACUUGCACAUGGGUUAGUCGAUCCUAAGAAGCAGGGGAAGCCCGUUUGAUAGCGCCGAGUGUGCGGACUUCAAAACGCAAUCUGGUUAAAAUUCCUGAACUGGGAUGUGGCGGUUGACGGUAAUGUUAGGACAUCCGGAGACGUUGUCGUGGGCCUCGGGAAGAGUUAUCUUUUCAGUUUAACAGCCUGCCCACUCUGGAAACGACUCAGCCGGAGGUAGGGUCUAGCAGUUGGAACAGCACCGCACGUCGUGCGGUGUCUGAUGCGCCCUUGGCAGCCCUUGAAAAUCCAAAGGACCGAGUGCCAUCCACACCCAAUCGUACUCAUAACCGCAUCAGCUCCCCAAGGUGAAUAUCCUCUGGUCAAUGGAAAAAUGUAGGCAAGGGAAGUCAACAAAAUGAAUCCGUAACCUUGGGAAAAGGAUUGGCUCUGAGGGAUGGGUACAGGGGUCGUCGCGUAUUGCUCGAGGGACGAAUUGGGAACGGCUCCUUCAGGGGCCUUCCUGGGCGUCGAACAGUCAACUCAGAAAUGGUACAAACAAGGGAAAUUCGACUGUUUAAUUAAUACAAAGCAUUAUGAUGGUCUCUGUGGAUGCUCACACAAUGUGAUUUCUGACCAGCGCUCUGAAUGUCAAAGUGAAGAAAUUCAACCAAGUAUGGGUAAACGGCGAGAGUAACUAUGAGUCUCUUAAGGUAGCCAAAUGUCUCGUCAUCUAAUUAGUGAUGCGCAUGAAUGGAUUAACAAGAUUCCCACUGUCCCUGUCUACUAUCCAGCGAAACCACAGCCAAGGGAAUGGGCUUGGUAGAAUUAGUGGGGAAAGAAGACCCUAUUGAGCUUGACUCUAGUCCGACUUUGUGAAAUGACUUGAGAGGUGUAGAAUAAGUGGGAGCCAGAAACGGCGCAAGUGAAAUACCACUACUUUUAACGUUAUUUUACUUAUUCCGUGAAUCGGAGGCGGGGUUAUCGCCCCUUUUUUUGGACCCAAGGCCUAUUUCAAUAAGCUGAUUCGGGCAGAAGACAUUGUCAGGUGGGGAGUUUGGCUGAGGCAGCACAUCUGUUAAAAGAUAACACAGGUGUCCUAAGAUGAGCUUAACGAGAACAGAAAUCUCAUGUGGAACAAAAGGGUAAAAGCUUGUUUGAUUCUGAUUUUUAGUACGAAUACGAACCAUGAAAGCGUGGCCUAUCGAUCCUUUAGACCCUCGGAAUUUGAAGCUAGAGGCGUAAGAAAAGUUACCAUAGGGAUAACUGGCUUGUGGCAGCCAUGCGUUUAUAGCGACGUUGCAUUUUGAUCCUUCGAUGUCAGCUCUUCCUAUUAUUGUGAAGCAGAAUUCACCAAGUGUUGGAUUGUUCACCCACCAAUACGGAACGUGAGCUGGGUUUAGACCAUCGUGAGAUAGGUUAGUUUUACCCUACUGAUGACAGUGUUGCAAUAGUAAUUCAACCUAGUACGAGAGGAACCGUUGAUUCGCACAAUUGGUCAUUGCAUUUGGUUGAAAAGCCAGUGGCGCGAAGCUACCGUGUGUUGGAUUAUUGACUGAACGCCUCUAAGUUAGAAUCUAGGGUAGAAGCGAUGCAUAUGCCCAUUGCCCAUUGGCCGACCCUUAGUAGGGGCCUUAUAGCCCCCAAAGACACAUGUCGAAGGUCAAAACCUCGCGACAGAUGAGUCGUGUAGGCUUCCUUGAAGUAAAAUUUCUAUCGAGCAGUGGGUAGAAUCCUUCGUAGAUGACUUAAAUAUGUGACAGGGUAUUGUAAGUGGUAGAGUGGCCUUGUUGCCACUAUCCACUGAGAUUUAGCCCUAUGUCACUUCGAUUCUU